GCCCAGUUAAUAGCAUCAUCAAUAUGCAGCUAUCACAUGCCAUUUGUAUGCGUGGUUUAGGGUAUGGCCUCAGUCCAGCUCCUAGAACUUCUAAAAUCCAAGCAUCAAACCCCUUGACCAGACAUGAAGCAUGCAAACAAGGACUGGACAACAACAUCCGUGAUCAAUAAGUUUUUGAAGCAGGAAACAAGCAAUCAUUCAGAUAAUUGGGGUUUCCAAAAACAUAAUUACCACAGGACUCAGGAGAGAGAUCAUAUCCA
rnacentral:misc_RNA from 1 species